UCCUUCUGGCAAUGGUCAAAGAGACACCUUGUUAGUGGAGGUGUUCUUACAUCAGUCAGGGCAGAGCAGAUGGCAGUCCUUAGAUCAUCCUACCUUGAUGCCUGGCUUAGUGGCCAAAGCUGUAUUAUGCCUAGGACUCAUAA